GCCUUCGUGGUGUAGUGGUCAGCACGCUGGGCGCAUAUUCCACAGGUCCGCGGUUCGAUUCCCGGCGAAGGCG
rnacentral:tRNA from 1 species